rnacentral:rRNA from 1 species
AGUGAACGCUGGCGGUAGGCCUAACACAUGCAAGUCGAACGGCAGCACAGUAAGAGCUUGCUCUUACGGGUGGCGAGUGGCGGACGGGUGAGGAAUACAUCGGAAUCUACUUUUUCGUGGGGGAUAACGUAGGGAAACUUACACUAAUACCGCAUACGACCUACGGGUGAAAGCAGGGGAUCUUCGGACCUUGCGCGAUUGAAUGAGCCGAUGUCGGAUUAGCUAGUUGGCGGGGUAAAGGCCUACCAAGGCGACGAUCCGUAGCUGGUCUGAGAGGAUGAUCAGCCACACUGGAACUGAGACACGGUCCAGACUCCUACGGGAGGCAGCAGUGGGGAAUAUUGGACAAUGGGCGCAAGCCUGAUCCAGCCAUACCGCGUGGGUGAAGAAGGCCUUCGGGUUGUAAAGCCCUUUUGUUGGGAAAGAAAAGCAGCAGGUUAAUACCCCGCUGUUCUGACGGUACCCAAAGAAUAAGCACCGGCUAACUUCGUG